rnacentral:rRNA from 1 species
AUUGAACGCUGGCGGCAGGCCUAACACAUGCAAGUCGAACGAGUGGCGGACGGGUGAGUAAUGUCUGGGAAACUGCCUGAUGGAGGGGGUUAACUACUGGAAACGGUAGCUAAUACCGCUUACCAUCAUUUUUGCCCAGAUGGGAUUGGCUAUUGGGGGGGGUAACGGCUCACCAAGGCGACGACCCCUAGCUGGGCUGAGAGGAUGACCAGCAACAGUGGAAGUGAGAAAGGGUCCAGACUCCUACGGGAGGCAGAGGUGGGGAAGAUUGAAAAAGGGGCGAAAGCCGGAUGAAGCCAGGCGGCGUGUAUGAAGAAGGCCUUCGGGUUGAAAAGUACUUUAAGCGGGGAGGCGUUACCCGCAGAAGAAGCACCGGCUAACUCCGUGCAAGCAGCCGCGGUAUUC